CGGGACGUGGCGCAGCCUGGUAGCGCACUUCACUGGGGGUGAAGGGGUCGUAGGUUCAAAUCCUAUCGUCCCGACCA
rnacentral:tRNA from 1 species